GCGAGUCACCUGGGUUUAGGAAGUUCUUUGAUGCCCAAAGGAGCCAUUUUUACAUUCACCCCAGUAGUUAAGUAAAGGAGAAAGGGAAUCUUCUAAAGAUAACCGGGAGGACUCGUGAUGUCGCUUAAUUGGUAGAGAACUUGAGAUGAAACCCAUUUUGAUGGCUUGUGCCUGCAGUCCCUGCAACUUGGGACGUAGAGGCGGGAGUACCAGAAACUCAAGGUUAUCCUCAGCUAAAUAGUGAAUUUAAGUCUAGCCUGGGCUAGAGGGAUGUGGGGUGUGUUUAAAAAUUCUAGGAGCCAGGUGGUGAAUUGAGUCUCACCUUUCCUUUCCUAAUCAGGCUGGUUCUGGCGCGCUGACGGAUAUUUACAUAUUAAUUGGUUUCACCUUGUGCCAGCCUGGGUGUGGGAGGAACUAACUUGUUUUCUUAUGUAUAGAACAAACGUUCACUUUGAGGGACACUGUUUUUUGCUGAUAUGAAGUUCGGGGAGGGAGAACCCGGGGAAGGCAAAAUCUGAGGCAGUUUCUCCUGGAACUAGUGGAGCACGUGAUUCAGACUGCUGCUUGGUGAGAAGUGGUGGGCAAAGAGGAACGGAGGACAGCCCUUCAGGCUGGUGGGUAAAGGCUCUGGAGUGGGAGGCGAGCUUUGCAACAAAGUCUCUAGAAGAGUGAAGUGAGGCUCAGUGUUUACCCCUUCCCGUCUGGUUAUUUCAUCUAGCACAAUACUUCAAGGGACAUCCAUGCCGUCUGUUCUGGUUGACAUUUGCUUUUACUUUUAAUUCUUCUGGAUGUAUAUCCCAAAGUGGAGUUGUUGUUAAUAUAUAGCAAUUGAUAUAUUUGAAAAGAACCAUGAUAGAGUUUUUCUUAGUAGCUGUGUUAUUUAUAUCUCCACCAGCAGCAUACAAAGGUUCUGAUUUCUCCACACCCUCUCUAACAGGUGUGUGUUAUUCAGGGCAAGUGUGGCACUAGUGUCUUAGUGGGUGGGAGAUGGUGUCUCGUUGUGACUUUGUUUCCCUAGUGACUAGUGAUGUCCAAGCAUGUUCUUGUGUGCUUGUUGGUCACCUGGACAUCUGGAGAAAAGUGUCUUGUUGGAGACUAUGUCCGUUUCUGAUUGUUUUGUUUUGUUUUUCGAGACAGGGUUUUUCUGUAUAGCCCUGGCUAUCCUGGAACUCACUUUGUAGACCAGGCUGGCCUCAAACUCAGAAAUCCUGCCUCUGCCUCCCAAGUGCUGGGAUUAAAGGCGUGCGCCACCACUGCUCGGCACUAUGUCUGUUUCUUAAACAUUUAUUUAUUCAUGUUGUACAUAUGUGUGUCUGUGUGCACUUGUGUGUUGUCCCCCCUCUUCAGCUUGCACAUGCUGGAGGUCAAAGGGCAACUUUCUGGAGUCAGUUCUCUUCUUCCACCACCUGGGUUUCUAACUCAGGUCCGGCUUGGCAGCAGGUGCCUUCACCUGGGGACCAACUCACUGGCUCCUUGCAUGUUUUUAAAUCAUAGUGUUACACUGUUGCUGAGUUGUGUGUUCUUGGUUCAACAAGUGUCCUGGGUGGGUGGACUUGUAGGAUGCAGCACACAGUUUCCUGCCCACUAGGUCUGAGCAUACAUCCAAGCACAAGAGAGACGGCUAGUGAUCAGCCAGGAUUCCCUAAAAUAAAUAAAUAAAAUAAAAUAAAAUAAACCAAACCCAAAAAACCCCAAACAGUUUAAAAUAUGUUUUUCAAUGCCACCAAGAUAAGACCUUGUAUAUAGCAUUAAUAUAAUGUUAAUAUAAUAAUGUCUAUGUCUAUAACAAUGAGUACUUAUGGAUGAAGAUAUUGUAAUGAAUAACUAAUUGGUUGAUAUGGCAAUCUUAGUAUUAUUUAUUACCUUGACUUUAAAGGAAAUUUAAGUCACUAAAAUAAAAUCACUAAAAGACAUUGUCAUAGGCCCCUGAGAUUAUUGUGGAUCAAGCUGCUGGCCAUGUUCGGUCCGUCAGAACCCUGUCUCAGGAGGUCUGGCCACCCCACCCCACCCCAUGCCACCCAGGGUUCACAGUGGCCUCCUCCCAGGUGCCGUGCUGGAUACUCAGCACUUUUACACUGAACAAUUUUCUCACCACACUAAGAAGGUUUUAUUCUCAUCUUAUCGAAAAAACAAAAUCUGAGUUUAAGAAAGUUAAGAAGUUUUCAGUGAUUUCAAAACCAAAACCAAAAACUAAACCAACCAAACAAAAAACUGCCCAGUUUAAAAGAAAGAAACC
rnacentral:lncRNA from 1 species